AUGGAAUCACCAAAUGCUCUCAAAUCUAGUCUUCCUCCUCAUCCCCAAUCUAUUGAAGAAAAAUCAGAUAGGGAGAAGAAAAUUGAUGAGUGGCUUCCAGUUAAUGCUGAUAGAAGUGUAAAAUGGUGGUACUCAGCUUUCCACAAUAUCACUGCCAUGGUUGGAGCUGGUGUUCUUGGUCUCCCUUAUGCUAUAUCACAGCUUGGAUGGGGUCCUGGUUGA